GGGGAGAUAGCUCAGUGGUAAAGCACCUGCCUAGCAUGCAUGAGGCCCUGAGUUCAAUUCCCAUCACCACA
rnacentral:tRNA from 1 species